UGGAUCCUUCCCAGUAGGUGGAGUGGUUCCAACAACCGAGCUGUCUGAUAGCCACCAGCCUAGAACAUUAUUUUCAGGCCCAAGGAAGCGGUAGCGAGGUUUAAAACAUAAGCUACUGAAGAGGUUGUUCUGCUAUCUGUUGUAUCUAUGCUGGACACACUGGCAUGCCAAGUCUGCACUUCCAGACCCAUCACUUUACGCCCGCCCCCCAACACAGCCAGCUCUGUGUCUUUAGACGUUCUUAGACCUAGUCAAUGGUGGACUUGUACAAGCGUUUGGAGAGCAGAAAACCAGAAGUCUAGAAUACUGUCAUGUGUAUCCAUUAAAUGUUCAUGGUUGAGCCA
rnacentral:lncRNA from 1 species